UCUGAGAUUGGAUCGGGUCAGUUCUCGGGUCAUGGCUCAAUACGGCACCGUUUUGGAGCCAUUAUAACGGGCUUCAAACGGUGUCGUUUUAUACUUUGCCUAAAACCUAUUCCAAACUCUAGGCAGAUACUCUUCUUCAUUUUCAGGAACGGCUGUCGCAAGAACUGCCUUAACCUUUCCUCUGCACCUUAUGCCGAAACUCUCCCUUUUCAACGUCGAUUUAGACGAAGCGAAUCAGGAUGUCUAUGGCGCCUAUCUUGGUACCCAACCAGCUGGAGCACACGCGUGGAGGAGGAAUAUGCACGCGGCGGCGAUGCACGCGCGAGGCCUAGAUCCAACUGCUGCGGCGCCAGCGAUUCCUGAAAUCCCUAGAAGCUUCUAGGGUAUUUCUCCAGUUUGGGCUAGGUUUCAAUUUGAAUCGGGCCAUGUAAACUGGGUUAGGGUAUUAGUUUUAGGAUUAGGCUUAAUGUAAUAUUGGGUUUAUUGUUAUUGGGCCAUGUAAAUAAACCUUAGAUAUUAGACUUUUUAUUUGGUUUGUAUUUGGUUUCUGAAUGCGGACCCAGGCAAAUUUGGGUAAAUGUUUUUGUAUAUUUUUUUGACUUUUGGAUUGUUAUUUUAUUUUAUUUGGCUUUUUUUUUA